rnacentral:rRNA from 1 species
UACGUAGGGGUCGAGCGUUGUCCGGAGUUAUUGGGCGUAAAGGGUGCGUAGGUGGCGCGGUAAGUCGGGUGUGAAAUCUCGGAGCUUAACUCCGAAAUUGCAUUCGAUACUGCCGUGCUCGAGGACUGGAGAGGAGACUGGAAUUCAUGGUGUAGCAGUGAAAUGCGUAGAGAUCAUGAGGAAGACCAGUGGCGAAGGCGGGUCUCUGGACAGUUCCUGACACUGAGGCACGAAGGCCAGGGGAGCAAACGGG